GGCCUGAUGGUCUAGUAGUAUGAUUCCUUGUUAGGGCGAUAUACGCACAUCGAGGAGGUCCCGGGUUCAAUUCCCGGUCAGGCCC